rnacentral:misc_RNA from 1 species
GAAGUUCUGUCUUUGGAUUCCUCCUAGAAACCCUCUGAUAGUGUAUAGGUUGGUUUUGUGGUGGCUACUUGCGAUACCAACAAUUCGGGAGUACAACAGUUACCUACAGGACAGGACACCAGUUAAAAAGGUGGGAGCAUAUUGCUGGCUUUCACUAGCUAUUUGCAUUGUUGAACUCCUAAUCUGCGUCAAGUUCGGACAUGGAUUGUUUCCUGACCCCAUGCCCAAUUGGUUAGUAAUUUUCUGGACAUGCACCGGUGUUGGCCUUGUGUUAUGUUUGGCUGCAUGGUCAUGGCAAUUACAUCGUACAAUGAGGAAAAAACAGCAAUGAGUUUCUGCAGUAACUCCAUUCUUUAUUCCUUUGUGUUAUUUCGGGUAACCAACCCUCUUGUACAUACCAAUUACCUUUUAACUGUACAUGUUUUCUUCCUAGUUUAGGUAUUAUAGUUGAA